AUGUCAAAUAAAACCUCAAAGUUUCAGAAUAGCGUGAAAAUGGCAACCAUAGUACGGAACAAUAUUCACGUAAUAAUAAGCAAUUCAGCUUCAGUGUAAAAAAGCCAACUUCGUCAGAUUUUUUGGAGUACGGUAAUAACAAAACAUGCCGAAAAAUUGCUGUGAUGUUCAAUGAACGUGUAACCAGGUCAAAAGUUCCGACCUAAGGUUCGCAAUGCUCCCAAGUAGGGAAAUGGAGCCUGCGAGAAGAGCCCCGUUGCUUCAGUCUAUUCGGUGUGGGAGAUGUGGGGACCCGGUGUCCAAGUACGCUACACGUAGCUGUUUGUGGAAAACAUUUAAUCACAACUAAGCCAUUUACGUUAUUUGGUAUAGUUCGUUUGUAAGACCACUCACUAUUGUAACCCAAUAGUCUAUUUUGUGUUGUUGGUCUUGUUUGGUUUACGUUGCGGUUGGGAUGGUAGCUAGCUAGCAUUCACUCAUGUGGCUGCUAUAGCGCCAUGAAAAGGUGCAUGAGGGAAGCCCUAUUACGUUUUUCUAAGUAGUGAGGACACGAAAGCAGGCAAUGUUGACAAGUAAUCUUUAUACAUGGUUUACUUUGCUUAAAAUGUAAUUUACAAAAAUAAUGUAUUUGCUGAGAGCCAAUGGGGUAACCUAGAAAACCACAGAUUGCGUUACGCGGGCGAGGCCGCGACGUUCUACUUACGGAACGCCAUUUGGGUGGGUGACUCGCCUUGCGGGUCAAAAGCUACACGUCAAAUAACAUUAUGGCCAAUAUUUGCAAUCACAAUUAAGGCGCGCUUGAAGCCAGCUAUGGGUGCGUGCGUAAAUUCGCUCUGGCUAUCUACUCCGAUUUCAGAGCACUUUAGCCUGAGUGUGCCAGAGCUAACUAGCAGUUAGGACGAGUAAAAUGGUCAGAGUGAGGUGUUCUCUCAUUUGUGUCUGGAAGAAGCUGGCCAACUGUUAGCCAAUUAUAUUGGGUAAUUGACUGCUCGUUGUGAGGUCAGAACGCUCGGAUUAACCCUACUAUGGAAGGCCAAGAGUUUCAAAUUGUCUUGAUUUGGACGCUUGUUACGGGCAUGUUUAUACGCGUUCAUUACACCUGUUCUGUGUGCAUUUACAGGUGAUUAGAACGCCUGUGUAGUAACGGGCACAUCCCCAUGUGUCUGAAAGUACCACAUUGUAGCCCCUCCCACCUCAAUUUUUGGGAGUUUGACUUCCGGCCUGUUGCGGUAAAUCGUUUACUCAGGGAGGAGGAGAUUAUUCUAAAUAUGGCUCAAAUUGUUAUUACAUUUACAGAAUGUAAACGCUGCAGCAAGGCGUUGGUGAGAAAAAAAAUGGAGAAAGAAAUUGAAACGACUUUUUCCACAGAACUACAAAUCUGACGCUGGCUAUCUAUCUUAUUUUCAUUGAAAUAGCAUGGCUAGCUAGCUAGCAAUAGUAUUCUGUCAAGCCUGUAACUAACGUUAAUGGUUGUUACGUUGUGGAACAGAGCAACAUAGUUCUUUGUACUUGUCAUUUGGUUGAGACAAACAUUAGUUUAGAACAUAAUUGUUUACUUUGUGUAGAUUUGUGUAAUUAGUUGGGUUUGCUUGUUAGCAAGCUGAGAUGUAUUUGCUCAAGUUGGCAAAUUUAGCUAUUAGCUAAUGUUUUAGGAGAACAGGUUAGCUCCCUGCAUAAUCUAGACCAUACAAGAAUGGGGAAUAAGGUCUGGCUAUUGCAGUGUCCAGACUAGGUGAGAGCAAACUGCUACAGAGAAAGGAAUCUACUAAUUCUAUGUUGAACCAGCAACACAGAUGGAGGGGGAGGAAAACAGACUGCUUCUUUCUACAACACCUUCACCAAAUCAUACAAUGUUUGUUACAUCUGAAAUAAAUAAAUAAUUAUGUUAGUUUAUUCUGUUUAAUGUUUUUUAUGCUGGAUGUAAUUUAGCAGGUCUAUAGUAUAAUGUAUUGUUUUGAAACAUUUUAUUAAAUAUCUAUUCAGUCUACUCUAUUUUAUGUUUGCUAGAAUAAUGUAUGUUUUGUACUGUUACUUUUUACAUGCUGAAACAGUCUCAUUAGUUUUGAGCUAGAUUAUGAUUGGGGAAAUGUCUACUACCCUUUUUAAAAUGUUGAUGAAUGAAAUUAGCACAGUUACUAAUAGUUUGUUGCUACUGUAUGGUGAGGAAGUGGGCAAUAUGGAAUACAUUGGAGGAAGGGAGAAUUAAUGAGAAAUCAGAACUUGGAGAAUGUCGGGGAAUAAGUAGGUAAAUGUACAGCCUAUCAAUGACAAACAGUGCAGAGGUAGCCUUAGAAUUAGAUAUGUGCAUGUUAUGUACUGGACAGACGGCUAGACAGCUUUUUUUCAAAACAUUGGAUUACCGACUUGAGUUGUGACAUCUCAGUUUGCACCGCAUUUUCACAUGGAUGUGUAAAUAUACACUGAACAAAAAUAUAAACGCAAUAUGUAAAGUGUCGGUUUCAUGAGCUGAAAUAAAAUAUCCCAAACAUU